GCUCGAAUGGUGUAGUGGCUAUCACGUCAGUCUCACACACUGAAGGUCCGCGGUUCGAUCCCGCGUUCGAGCA